CAGUAGCCGCGGUAACACGAAGGGUGCAAGCGUUACUCGGAAUUACUGGGCGUAAAGCGUGCGUAGGUGGUGGUUUAAGUCCGUUGUGAAAGCCCUGGGCUCAACCUGGGAAUUGCAGUGGAUACUGGGUCACUAGAGUGUGGUAGAGGAUAGUGGAAUUUCCGGUGUAGCAGUGAAAUGCGUAGAGAUCGGAAGGAACAUCUGUGGCGAAGGCGACUAUCUGGGCCAACACUGACACUGAGGCACGAAAGCGUGGGGAGCAAACAGGAUUAGAUACCCGAGUAGUCCCUGUCUCUUAUAA
rnacentral:rRNA from 1 species